AUAGCUCAGCGGUAGAGUGCGUGUCUAGCAUGCACAAGGUCCCGGGUUCUAUCCCCGGU
rnacentral:tRNA from 1 species